UACGUAUGGAGCAAGCGUUAUCCGGAUUUACUGGGUGUAAAGGGUGCGUAGGUGGCAGUGCAAGUCAGAUGUGAAAGGCCGGGGCUCAACCCCGGAGCUGCAUUUGAAACUGCUCGGCUAGAGUACAGGAGAGGCAGGCGGAAUUCCUAGUGUAGCGGUGAAAUGCGUAGAUAUUAGGAGGAACACCAGUGGCGAAGGCGGCCUGUUGGACUGUUACUGACACUGAGGCACGAAAGCGUGGGGAGCAAACAGG
rnacentral:rRNA from 1 species